rnacentral:tRNA from 2 species
GGACAGAUAGCGAAGCGGCCAAACGCAGCUGACUGUAAAUCAGCCACCCACGGUUUCAGUGGUUCGAAUCCACUUCUGUCCACCA